ACGUUAGAGUUUGAAUCUGGCUCAGGACGAACGCUGGCGGCGUGCCUAAUACAUGCAAGUCGAACGCUUCUUUUUCCACCGGAGCUUGCUCCACCGGAAAAAGAGGAGUGGCGAACGGGUGAGUAACACGUGGGUAACCUGCCCAUCAGAAGGGGAUAACACUUGGAAACAGGUGCUAAUACCGUAUAACAAUCAAAACCGCAUGGUUUUGAUUUGAAAGGCGCUUUCGGGUGUCGCUGAUGGAUGGACCCGCGGUGCAUUAGCUAGUUGGUGAGGUAACGGCUCACCAAGGCCACGAUGCAUAGCCGACCUGAGAGGGUGAUCGGCCACAUUGGGACUGAGACACGGCCCAAACUCCUACGGGAGGCAGCAGUAGGGAAUCUUCGGCAAUGGACGAAAGUCUGACCGAGCAACGCCGCGUGAGUGAAGAAGGUUUUCGGAUCGUAAAACUCUGUUGUUAGAGAAGAACAAGGAUGAGAGUAACUGUUCAUCCCUUGACGGUAUCUAACCAGAAAGCCACGGCUAACUACGUGCCAGCAGCCGCGGUAAUACGUAGGUGGCAAGCGUUGUCCGGAUUUAUUGGGCGUAAAGCGAGCGCAGGCGGUUUCUUAAGUCUGAUGUGAAAGCCCCCGGCUCAACCGGGGAGGGUCAUUGGAAACUGGGAGACUUGAGUGCAGAAGAGGAGAGUGGAAUUCCAUGUGUAGCGGUGAAAUGCGUAGAUAUAUGGAGGAACACCAGUGGCGAAGGCGGCUCUCUGGUCUGUAACUGACGCUGAGGCUCGAAAGCGUGGGGAGCAAACAGGAUUAGAUACCCUGGUAGUCCACGCCGUAAACGAUGAGUGCCUAAGUGUUGGAGGGUUUCCGCCCUUUCAGUUGCUGCAGCUAAACGCAUUAAGCAAU
rnacentral:rRNA from 1 species